GUCUUGCUCGCUGCUCGGAGUUUCACCGUGUUGAGAGACGUCUGAUGGGACGCUUUGGCCUCUGCAGAUCUCGCGGACGCCAGCACGGACGAGGAGGGAGCCGAGGCCGCGAAGAGGACAGGCACCGCCAGAGGCCACGCAGAGAGUCUCGAGGACGUUCCCCUUCCAGAUCGGCAUCGCCGCCCGAGC